GGAAAUGUGGCUCAGAGGUUAAGAGCACUGACUGUUCUUCCAGAGGUCCUGAGUUCAAUUCCCAGCAACCA
rnacentral:tRNA from 1 species